UGUUCUCUGGUUUUAGUGAGGGCAAAGGUAUCUUGCGUCGUUAAGCUGUAAACGACUGGUGAUGAGGGGUCGGUCACAUCAUCUUUAAUUACCGUUGCUGGGCCUUCGUAGAGGACGUCGUAUUGGUGGAAAUUGCAAGAUGAUGUAGGCACAGAUUUCCAGGACGUGUGAGGAUUUCAUGGAUAUUUUAAUUGAAGCUUGGACCACGACGUCGUCCCAGGUUCCGUAGGGGUCAGAAUACUGAGUGCCCUUACAGCUUCCAUCAUGGCCUAUUCGUCCUCCCAGGGUGAGACUGCGAUGAGUGGUCUGGUUAGCUUUCAAUCCAUACACGAGGUUUCCGGCUCCUAGGGAAAGCGUUCCAUCUUGGAACAUUCUUAAACACUGUAUGUAUCCAGUUUCGUGGAUAUAGUCCGCUCUUCCGUUCUGGACUACGGAGACAUGUUUCCGGUAAUCGAGGUUACAUUCGCCAACAUCUAACAAGGAUACCGAGGUAAUGUUUAGAUGUUGUCCGCCGCAAUCGAAUCCGAUGAGAGCAUCGGUGGUCCUCGUAAUGAUUA